ACUAACGCUGGCGGCGUGCUUAACACCUGCAAGUCGAACGGAAAGGCCCUGCUUUUGUGGGGUGCUCGAGUGGCGAACGGGUGAGUAACACGUGAGUAACCUGCCCUUGACUUUGGGAUAACUUCAGGAAACUGGGGCUAAUACCGGAUAGGAGCUCCUGCUGCAUGGUGGGGGUUGGAAAGUUUCGGCGGUUGGGGAUGGACUCGCGGCUUAUCAGCUUGUUGGUGGGGUAGUGGCUUACCAAGGCUUUGACGGGUAGCCGGCCUGAGAGGGUGACCGGCCACAUUGGGACUGAGAUACGGCCCAGACUCCUACGGGAGGCAGCAGUGGGGAAUAUUGCACAAUGGGCGGAAGCCUGAUGCAGCAACGCCGCGUGCGGGAUGACGGCCUUCGGGUUGUAAACCGCUUUCGCCUGUGACGAAGCGUGAGUGACGGUAAUGGGUAAAGAAGCACCGGCUAACUACGUG
rnacentral:rRNA from 1 species